rnacentral:rRNA from 1 species
CCUACGGGUGGCAGCAGUGGGGAAUAUUGCACAAUGGGGGAAACCCUGAUGCAGCGACGCCGCGUGAGUGAAGAAGUAAUUCGUUAUGUAAAGCUCUAUCAGCGGGGACGAAAAUGACGUUACCUGAGUCAGAAGCCCCUGCUGACUACGUGCCAGCAGCCGCCGUAAUACGUCGGGGGCAAACGUUCUCAGGAUUUACUGGGUGAAAAGGGAGCGUAGACGGCCGUGCAAGUCUGGAGUGAAAGCCGGGGGCUCAACCCGCGGACUGCUCUGGAAACUGUACGGCUGGAGUGCAGGAGAGGUAAGUGGAAUUCCUAGUGUAGCGGUGAAAUGCGUAGAGAUUAGGAGGAACACCAGUGGCGAAGGCGGCUCACUGGACUGUAACUGACGUUGAGGCUCGAAAGCGUGGGGAGCAAACAGGAUUAGAUACCCCAGUAGUC